rnacentral:rRNA from 1 species
CCCUACGGGGGCCAGCAGUGGGGAAUAUUGCCCAAUGGGCGAAAGCCUGAUGCAGCAACGCCGCGUGAACGAAGAAGGCUCUUGGGUCGUAAAGUUCUGUUCUGAGGGAAGAAGAAAGUGACGGUACCUUAGGAGGAAGCCCCGGCUAACUACGUGCCAGCAGCCGCGGUAAUACGUAGGGGGCAAGCGUUAUCCGGAAUUAUUGGGCGUAAAGAGUACGUAGGCGGUUCUUU